ensembl:lncRNA
AGACAGCUGAAAGUAGCUUCACAAUCACAAGCACUGGUUCUCAUGAGGGACUUCAACUAUGCUAAUAUUUACAUGAACAGUGACACUGCCAGGUGCGCACAGCCCAGGAGGUUCCUGCAGUGCAUGGAAGAUAACAUUCUGAUGCAGGCCAUGGAGGAGCCAAUGAGGAGAGGUGUGUUGCUGGACCUUGUUCUUACAAACAAGGAAGGACUAGUUGGGGAUGUGAAAGCCGGGAGCAGCCUUGGAUGCAGUGACCAUGAGAUAGUGGAGUUCAGGAACAUGGAAAAAACAAGGUAAUAAGUAGGACUGGAACCCUGGACUUCAGGAGAGCCAAUUUUGACUUCUUCAGUGACCUUCUUGGAGGUAUUCCAUGGAUUAGAACACUGGAAGGAUAUGUACCAUCUAGGAAUCGUUCUUGUGGAAAGGGCAAGACAAGAUGCUCUUCUAAGACAACGCGACUAAUACCACCUGGGAUUUCGGGGAGCUCCUGCAGGGGCCCAUCGUGGCUGCCGUCUGCCCAUUCUGAUGGACUCUGUGAGGAUCCAUAUCAGGCUGUGCUGGAGAAGAAAGCCUCCAGCAACUGCCAUGGCACUGGCAAGGCAGGGGCUGUGCUCUCAAUGUGCCUUCUCCAGAUGCUGGGCAUAUGGUCUUGUCCUGAGAGCUCCAAGAUAAUUUGGCUUAGCUCGCUCAGUGAAGGAUGCAGCUGGAGCAGAGAGUGUGGAGAGAGACUUACUGCACUUCCAGAUAACAGCCUUGCUGAGCUUGAUUGAUGGAUGCUGUUUAAUCUGCCAGACAGGCUGAAACUUAAGAAAUGGAGCAGAAACACGCAGCUUGGGCAAACCAUUUGUGUAUAGCAAGGACAUGCACAGUGUCAUUUUAGGCAGCGUUUGUGCUAGGAAGCCACUGUGCACAGACUUCCUCACCAGCACAGCUGGGCACAGAAGAGCUUUGGUCUGUGUGGCAGAGCAUUGUACGUGCUUUGGCCACCUUUGUCUAAGGAUGAGAUUUCUUUCCUCUUCCAAGCCUUUCCCUUUGCAAUUAUAUUACUGCAGCACAAGGCCAUGUACCUAGUCAUAAAAGCAAAUGUUUUUCAGUCGUGCCCCUGAAGUCUUCAGCAAGACCUUCUCAGAAGAUACGCAGAGGAUGGUUGAGUACAAGAGAAGUGUCCAAUAUUAAUUGCUGAGAUGAACUCAGAAGAUGUGGGCUCUGCUCCCUCAGGCUCUUGCUGACUGGUUGCAUGGUGCUGAGCACCUUCCUGGUCAAACCAGUGCCCUCCACACCUGCCUUGGACAUGCACUGCACGCAGUGUUCUCAGUGGAAAUGAUUGUAACAGAAAUAAUCUCUUCCAGGUAGGGUGAUUUACCCCAUGUAAUAAACUGGCUGCAGCUGGAGCACCUUAUUGCUAUUAAAAUCUUCAUCUUCACUUGGCUGUAGCUGUAGAGGCAAACUACACUAUGAUGUAAACAAGACUGGAGCUUGUACAACCUUUAAGACCAAGUGUAGCUAUUCCACUGCAGCUUGCCACUGCAUUGAGCCUGACAGCCUGAUCUGAAAGAACAGUUUUGGGACUUAGCAUAUAAAGAAAAAAAUUGUAGAGGACACAGUUCAAAUGACAACAACAACAACCAAACCUGAAGAAUUCAACACAUUUUUUUUUUACUGAAAGGAGUAUGGAGUUGGUAUAAGACUACUGCAUGUGUGAUAUACUCACCAAGUGUAUUCCAAUUUAACAGAGAGCAGUUAGAUUUGUUUUUCCUCUUAGAGGUGUUAAUAGACUCAAAUGUGGAAGAGGAGACAAACACAAGUUUGGCAAGUUCAGGUGAUGGUAAAUGAAGCAGGUUACGCUAAAGACAACCUCUUCUGUGCUGUUCAACUUUUCUUACACAGCACAGAGUGCACCUGGGUAUUGAGUACAAAACAAUGUAAACGAGCCCUUGCAAACUGUCUGUGCACAAGCUGGGAUAAAUCUCUUACAAGCAGAGGAAAAUACACCAAUGAUUUUGCCUCUGGAUAGAGAUUGCUAGCAGUUUUUGAGAUUUCCCCAGAUUCAGUCCCUGGUGAGAACACAGGUAUGAACAGUGUGUAUAAACAAAAUUUAAAGGUUUCCAUUAAAAGAAGAAACAUAGACUUGACAAAUACCCUAACACACGUGCCAAGGCAUAUAAAAUGCAUCUGAUGCAACAAAUGUUUCAUACCUUCUUCCUAUUUUCUAGAGUCAAUUUAUUUUCAAAUCCUUGCUUUAUACAUGCAGUGGAUGAAUUAAUGACUCUUGCUAUUUGAUGUAAAUUCUUGCCAUAGUUCGCUUCACAAUGGAUUUCCCCUCCUCUAGAGCAGUUGGUUCUGACUGAUGAUCUGUCUAGCUUCGGAGCAGAAAAUCCACAUGCUGAGGAAGCGGAGAUGGAGGAGCAGUCUUUGGAUUUUAGGAAUGGCCCUUUUGGGUCUGGAUCAAAGGCUUCCAGCCAAACAGCAUCAGGAAGCUUUGGCUGCUGCUGCUUCUGCAAUAGUUGUUUCCUGUGAUAGGGAGCAAGGCAUACACAAAGCAUCUGGUGCAUCCCAUCUGUGUGGGAGGGGAAGAAAGUUGCCCCAUGGCUGUCAGGCCAGUAUGCUUUGGCAUACAUGGAGGUGUAAAAAACUUGCUCUUGAAACUUCAGUAUUUUGGGUCUUGCUUAAUCUCUGUGUUCCAAAUUCAGCAGUAUCCUCAGUGAUUGCACUAUGAGUACUGGUAAAUAAAAAUUCUGUAACAGGGGAAACAUGAAAUUUCCAAUCAUUUUGCCAUUUUACAAAAGGGCAAUAAAAUGCUAGUAUCCCAUCUGAAAAAUAUUUAUUGAAUGUAAUGAGGAAGAAACCAGUGGGGAAAUUAAGUAGGGGUCUAUGGAAAUUAUCCUAUAUUCUGAGACAGGGUAAUACAAACUUCUUUACUGAACUUUCAAACCAUCCUGCAGAGUUUAACAGAGAACAGUUUUCUUUAGGUUAUGUUCUGACUUCUGUACUGUGUUCUCCAUUUAGUGGAGAACAUCAUUGUUCUCCAUUUAGUGUUUCUAUUUUUUUUGUUUUUGUUUACAAAGAGAUUGUCUAUAACAGCAUCAAAGCAAGCAGAUCAAGAAAAUAUGAUAUCAAGUGGCCUCUCUUCUCUUUUAAUUGUACUGCAAAAAUCUCCAGGUUCCUGGAACCAUGCUUAGCUCAUGUGGAAGCAGGUAUAAACAGUGAGUUCAAUGGAAACUAUAUGCAUUAUAGUACAAGUCGGUCAUCUUGCUUAUCAAAAAUAACUUUUGAAAUGUCUUAAUAUUGAAGCUUAUAUGGGACUAGGAUGUUUUGACUUUCUCAGUUUUACAUCACUUCUGAAGCAAUCAGUGGCAUCAGGUGACCACUGCUUGAUUCAGGACAGGAAUGCAAACCUGGUCUCCAAUAUCAAAAAAAAGUGUCUCAACGACUAUAAUAACAUGUAUGUUUACAGUUACGAUAAACCCCCUGAUAAGAUAUCUGGGAUCAGAUUAGAAAUACUUCAGCAACAUGAGAAAAAUAUCUCAAUUAUAAUGGGUCUAGUUUGUCUUGAGAAUAUUCUGGGGGUAACUUGAUCCUUAUGAUAGGUAUCUAGAGGCAUCUGAAUGAGGAGCUACGAGAUAUGGUUUAGUAGCUUGUGGUAGCAAUGGUAAUGGGAGGAUGGUUGGACUAGAUGACCUUGUAGGUCCUUUCCAACCUUGUGAUUCUAUGAUUUAAGGCUUGCCAACAGAGUUUGUGUUGGUCUCUGCCUGGAAUUACAUUCUCUCAAAGGAAAAUGCCGUAUUUGUUGGGCCACGCUAUCAGGGACCUUCUUGGUGAUCUUGAUGUGAAGCAGCUCAAACUUCACCACCACCACUGACAACAAUGUUGCCAUUCAGGCCAAAUCAAUGGCAUUAUGAUGGUUCUAUCCAAAACCGUUCUUUGAGAACAACAGAAAAACUAUUUUUUCUGGGUGUGGUCCACAGCAGCAUUGAUGGGAAACAAUCACUUUUUGAUGAAGAACACCUUAAAAGGUGCAAUGAUUGACAAAUCUAGCAAGUUGUCCUCCCCAAGACAGCGCAGUAUGGACCAAGCAGGAGUCUGGAGUACAACAAAGUUAAAGCACAAAUCCUGCAGGUGACCAGUAAGAAUGCCGAAAGUGAUAAAGGACCGUUUGAGGCAACAGCAAUGCCAGAAACUGGAUAUGUCUAAAAAUAAAAACAUUGUGCUGUUAUAAACAGGGUGUUUUACAGGACAGAAACGGCAUAUGCCCUUCAUCUAAAGACUGCUAUUUAUUUAUUUAUUUACCUUCAAGAGCUGCAACAGGCUUUGAGCAACAGAGGAGCAAGCGUCUGUUCAAGGAGGUUGAAAAGAAACCUUUGGAACAGAAAGAGCCUGGCUCCCGCAUGUUUCUUUGCCACCCUUUACAUGUGGAAAGGUCAGGAUCACAAGUCUCUGCAAGCUGACCCUGCGUAUUUCAGCUGCAAUCUUAUUUGGGAUUGUGAGGCUCUAUUGCUGGUUCCUAGGAGCACUGGCAAGUGAACAAGGUGUGCUUCUCACCGCACAGUCAUUUGUCACAACCCCAACAUGCUGUGGUUUGCAGGUGUAUGGUUUUGAGGAUGAAAUGGACUAGCAGUGCCUUCUACUACAGAGCCCAUGUUCCGUCUCUUGACACAGCAGUUCUUCGUGCUGCUUUUUUGGCUUGUGGUCCAUCCUAGUUCCCUUUACUCUAGGAAGCUUAUGUCCUCCUGUCUAUACUACUUCUAACUAUGCUAUGGGAAGCUCAAGAUAGCAAACACAGGCACUAUCAUUAAUUCCAAUCACUGUUUAUUAAAUUGAAAAAAAACCAAAAAAACAAAAGCAUGCAGAAAUGCAUACCAAAACAGACCUUCAUCUCAAUCCUCUACAACCUGUUGGAGGGGUUUUCAUCAAUCAAACACUGCAUCUCUGGCAAGACAUCAAGAGUGAUAAGUUUGAACUCCUGCUCAGCAAAGUGAAUCCACAUUCUUUACUUGCUAUGUUUCCUGAGAGAGCAGGCUUCCUGGAUGUUACACAGAAUCACUGACGUUGUGGCAUCGGACUCUACCUUUGCCCAUACCUUCAGCCUGCAUUAUCCAUAGUAAUGUCAAGGGGACUUUUACUAGCUUAGGUAAAUAAAUUCUUUCUCUUGACUUAGUUUGAUGUGGAUCAGUCUCUCUGUCCAGUACAAUGGUCAACAAUGCAGCCAGCCCCUGCUUGUCCUGCCUAACUGGACAGAGACACAAGUCUAUGGAAACUAUAUUUUCCAUUUUUAUUUCCAUCUUAUUUGGGGUCAUUCUCCCCCAUGCAACACUGAUAGGUGCUUGGGUGGCUGUGCAUCUUGCUAGGCAAACUACAGAUCCCCAUGGAUGUUUUACCAGUACCAGCUUUAAGAGGAGUAAGAGAUCAUCCUUGAUAAUGUCCUCCCUCACCAAGAAAGAACAACGUGAAGCUGAUCAUAGGUGCAUAUGUCUGUGUAAUGGCUUUAAAGAAAUGGGUAAAUCCCAUGAAAGUGAUGUUUACUACUGCUUCAUCCUACAUUAGCAGGUAGUAUAGGCUGAGCAUGGCUAUACAUGGCAUAAUCUCAGUGGUGGCUAUUGCCAGCAUCCCAGUAGCACAACCAGCCCUGAUUGCUCCUGCACAUCCCCUUGGGGCUCCCACAGAAAAAUAAUAAUAAUAAUAAUACAGGAGCUUAUCACAGUGCAGAGAUGGGAGUGGAGGAGAACAGAAGCAUGCAAGCAGCAGUAUUAUCCAGAGGGAUGCGCACCUCCCCAUGGGAAGCCCAAGGGCAGCUGAGCUGUGCACCUAGCCUAGCUGUGCAAAGGCUCACCAUCACUUCCCUGCCACGUGGCUGGCAAUGAGUGGUCCCAAGUGGUUUAUACUUAGAGAAUCCCCUCUUUGCAUUGGGAUGGUCUUGUUUUCAGUCCCAAAAUGCCCUGCAAAAUGAAUGAAUUGUUGUUUUCUAGCCAGCCUGAGUAGGAAACAUGGCUCACACAGUUGCUGGGAACUGGAAGAAACAUCCUGGUCUGCAGAGCAUAAAUUAGGAAAAUGCAUUCUUAUUCUCGUGGAUAUUCCUUGAGAAAAAGCCAACAGUGGGAGUGUGUUAGAGUGGUAAAAUGCAAUUCAUGACAACAGUCCCACUGAGAGGAGGAUUUUUUUUUUCCUUUAGUUGCUUCUAAUUGUGGUAAGGAGCAAACGCAUUCCUCUUUAAUUUCCAUUGGCAAGGUCUCCGGGACUGUGCGAGUGCCAAGAAGUGUGCUGUGGCUGGCUUUGCAUUUCCUCCUCUCUUCUUCCCCUCCUCCACCCCUCCCUCAUCUUAUGGGUAUUACAGCCAAUCCCUCUGCAAAUACCUUUUUCGCAGGCAAUGUAAGCACUCUCCCUCUUGUUUUUCUCCCUUCGAAACUCUGCUCUAUCUCUUUUGGCCAGCUGCAGCCUUCCUAGAGCAUCUUCUACCUGACAAAAGAAGAUACCUUUGAUAGUCAGACAUGAUGGUGGUCCUCCUCAGAUAGGCUUCAUUCACACCACCCUUGUACCAUUAAGGAGGUGCUCUGUGCAAUUGAGGACGCUGACUGGAGCUCGACAUCUU